rnacentral:lncRNA from 1 species
UAAGAGGUUAGUAAUGGUUCUGAAGUGUAUUCGUUAUUUAAGUAGCUACCUCACAGGGAAAUAUUAAAAAAUAAAAUAAAAUACAUUCCCAGAGAUGGAUAAUAACAUCUGAAUAGAAGAAUAAAAGCAACAAAUAGACACAGACUCAAAUGAGGUAAAUAUAACAACAAUGGGAAUGGACUAUCAGAAAAGUGAUGUUAUGUCUUCACUUUUUGUUUCACUCGACGAGCCAAACAUUGUAAUUAAGUAAUGUGUCCAAAUGAUUGAAGCAGUGUCCAUCUUCUUUACUUCCAUCAGACAAACGAUGUGGGCCAGAGCUGUAAUACUUUUCAUUGGUGUGUUAUUCCAUUACCAGCAGGUAAGCAGUACAUUGUAAUGGUAUUUGAAAUGAGCCGGUAUAUGGCCAUUAUACCACGGUUAAGGGCUGUUCUUAUGCACAACGCAAUGCAGAGUGCCUGGAUACAGCCCUUAGCCGUGGUAUAUUGGCCAUAUAUUGCUAUUAUAAACUGGUUACCAAUGUAAUUAGAGUAGUAAAAAUAAAUGUUUUGUCAUACCCGUGGUAUACGGUCUGAUAUACUAUGGCUGGCAGCCAAUCAGCAUUCAGGGCUCAAAUCAGCCAGUUUAUAAUGUCCCUUUAGUGAUGAAAUAUAAUGUGUCUCUCUCUUCAUUGACACAGGCCUUAGCAGUGGGUGAGUUAUUUAUGCAUUUAUGUCUGAAUACAUAACAAACCAAGCAGCUUACUCUCUAUGAAAAGGUGAAAUUACUAAGUAACUCACACAAGCAGAUGCACACUUGGAGACCCUCUCCUCUUAUCAUUUAAAUCAGAAGUCGAACAGGCUCUCAUGCCUAUUUGCCAAAAUGUUUCCUUUAUGUCACUGAUUGUUUUAGAUACCUACAUGGCUGAGUUCAUGAUAGAAAGCAAUGCUACGUUGUACGUCUCUGGUGCUCUAUCAGCAAUCAAGCAAAUAGCAACACCUAAUACAACAAUGACUAUUGAACUGCUUGAACUAACAGCAGAAUGUCAAAUUGUCGGGAAUGCUUCUACGUGUAACUGUUCAUCAGCGUACAUCUGGAGUAACGACGUGUGUGGCAAUUUCCAGUGUUGCAAUUACUCAUAUUGUAACGCAAAUAUUUCUGACUACCCAGCCCUCUGCAUACCCAAAGUGAAAGGUACUAUUGCUGAUACUGUUAUUUGUGCUAUCAUUCUUCUAUAUGAUCAAUAGCCUAGCCCUAGUUGAUACU